GGUAGCAAACAGGAUUUGGUACCCUGGUAGUCCAUGCUAUAAACAAUGAAUAUUAGAUGUUUAAAUAAAUAGUUAUUAUAAUUUAACAUAAAAAGUUAACACGUUAAAUAUUUCGCCUGGGGAGUAAAACCGCAAGGUUGAAACUCAAAGGAAUUGACGGGAGCUUAUACUUACGGUGGAGCAUGUGGUUUAAUCCGAUAGUCCGCGUGGAAUCUUACCAAUUUUUGACAAUUUAAAGUUUUUAUUUAAAAACAGGUGUUGCAUGGCCGUCGUCAGCUUAUGUUUUGAAAUUUAAGAUAUAAGUACAACCCUUAUUUUAAUUUGCUAAUAUUUAAAAUAUAAAUUUAGUUUAUAAUUAAAUAUGCACUAUUAAAAACAAAAUAGUUUUAAAUUAUUUUAAAGGAUGAAGAUAGGUCGUUAUGACCCUUAUAAACUGGGCUAC
rnacentral:rRNA from 1 species